rnacentral:miRNA from 1 species
AGCCAGCUGCAGGUGCUGGUGCCUG